rnacentral:rRNA from 1 species
UUGAACGCUGGCGGCAUGCUUUACACAUGCAAGUCGCACGGCAGCGGGGUAGUGCUUGCACUACUGCCGGCGAGUGGCGAACGGGUGAGUAAUAUAUCGGAACGUACCGAGUAAUGGGGGAUAACCAAUCGAAAGAUUGGCUAAUACCGCAUACGUCCUGAGGGAGAAAGCGGGGGAUCGCAAGACCUCGCGUUAUUCGAGCGGCCGAUAACUGAUUAGCUAGUUGGUGGGGUAAAGGCCUACCAAGGCGACGAUCAGUAGCGGGUCUGAGAGGACGAUCCGCCACACUGGGACUGAGACACGGCCCAGACUCCUACGGGAGGCAGCAGUGGGGAAUUUUGGACAAUGGGGGCAACCCUGAUCCAGCCAUGCCGCGUGUAUGAAGAAGGCCUUCGGGUUGUAAAGUACUUUUGUUAGGGAAGAAAAGGGAAGUGCUAAUACCACUUUUUGCUGACGGUACCUAAAGAAUAAGCACCGGCUAACUACGUG